rnacentral:rRNA from 1 species
GAUGAACGCUAGCGGCAGGCCUAACACAUGCAAGUCGAGGGGUAGAGUUCUUCGGGACUUGAGACCGGCGCACGGGUGCGUAACGCGUAUGCAAUCUACCUUAUACAGGGGAAUAGCCCAGAGAAAUUUGGAUUAAUGCCCCAUAGUGUUAUCGAAUCGCAUGGUUUGAUAACUAAAGGUUCCAACGGUAUAAGAUGAGCAUGCGUCCAUUAGUUAGUUGGUAAGGUAACGGCUUACCAAGACAAUGAUGGGUAGGGGUCCUGAGA